rnacentral:rRNA from 1 species
UACGUAGGGUGCGAGCGUUAAUCGGAAUUACUGGGCGUAAAGCGUGCGCAGGCGGUGAUGUAAGACCGAUGUGAAAUCCCCGGGCUUAACCUGGGAACUGCAUUGGUGACUGCAUUGCUGGAGUAUGGCAGAGGGGGGUGGAAUUCCACGUGUAGCAAUGAAAUGCGUAGAGAUGUGGAGGAACACCGAUGGCGAAGGCAGCCCCCUGGGCCAAUACUGACGCUCAUGCACGAAAGCGUGGGGAGCAAACAGG